AAUAUUAACAAAGCUUUAUUGUCACUGCAGUGAAACGUCUUUUUCUAAGUCUCUGGCUCUGGUCAUCUCUGAUUCAUGUUUAUGUGUGUGAUAUUAGUUGAGCUGGGUCAGUAUCAGUGGGUGGCAGCGUUGGCUGAGAAAUAUUGUGAUUUUGACAUCCUGGUGCAGAUGUGUGAGCAGACGGACAACCAGACUCGCCUACAGCACUACAUGACUAAAUUUGCUGACCAGUUGGGAAGCCUCAGAUGGCAGUGAUGAUCCUUUGGAGGCGGCGAGCGACAGCAUCUUUGUUAAAAUUCUCCAAAAACUCAUUCAAGAAGGGGUUCCUCUGCACGAGUAUCUACCCGAUGUGAAGGAGCUUCUGCAGGUGGAUGAGCUGAACUGUUCUUCUCUCUCCACGUGGGGUUUUGUUUUUUUGAAUAAAUGAUGUAUUUGUGUAUCACGUCGCCACGUUCUCACCGACCCUCGCUCGAACGUAACGCCCUGAUAUUUCUCACACUUCCAUUCACACAACCUCAUUUACUUUAUUAAUAAACUCAUUAAAAUAUCAACAAA